rnacentral:lncRNA from 1 species
AAUUCUACUUAAUAUGUGCAUGGCGUAACUAAUUGUUUUUAAUACAUCCAGAUUUUUUAAUAUGUGCAUGGCGUAAGUAAUUAGACAAAAUUGUUGAUGCAACAUAAUCGGAAAAAGGCAUGAUUUUUUUAAGCAAGGAAUAAUAUAUCCAGAUUCAAACAUGUACAGAGGAUCAGAAUCUAAAGCUCUUCCGAGAGGAGUGGAAUUGUUUAUUGUUGAUGAAUACACCAAAAGCUAUAAUAAAGGAAAAAUGAAACAGUUAGAGACAAUAACAUUGAUUUCCCAUCUAUCAUAAAUUUAGAAAUCCAAGUGAAAAGAAAAGGGUUGAACACACAUACCCACAAGGGAUUUUCCACGUUCAAACAUAAUCAAUCACAAGUAGGCAGAAGCAAUCUACUUCAAAUUAACUGAUUUUUGCUUCAAAUUCUUUAUAGAGCGAUGAAACCGAACCCCAAAACACAGAAAACAUAUAAAUUAAGAGAAACAGAACCAAAAAAUCAUGAUGUUAAUUUGGGAACUGGUCAGACUGCACUUACCCAACUUUCGUCUUCCUCCAUCUCUACCUACUUCUUUCAAUCAUGAUUUCGGAUAAGGAAAAGAAAACCCUAGACAACAUGUAAUCAUAUUGGAAAAAAUUCUUCAUAUUCGGGCCUCACUGCUCCAUAUUUCGAGUAUCUCCAUUAAGACCCUGAAAAGAAAAAGGUGAACGAUUAUAUACGAUGAGUAAGAGAGAAGACGUAUGGUGAACUGAAGAGCAAUUGAAACAAACUGAUCUCGAAUCCAAGAUCGACAACAUACGUACGGACUACGUGGUGGAGAUCAAAUGAUUUUAAAUCAACAAAUGCAAACCAUACUUAC